GAACAGGCAGAGGCAGUUCAGGGGGUAUUCUGGUUGCCUUACCCAGCGCUGAAGUCUGUCAGCCUCUUCAGAUGUCACUUGCCCUGUGGAAAGGAAGUGUAGUCAGCAGCUGGUGCAGUGGCAAGAAGAGAAAGGAAGUUCCCCAAGACAAAAACAUCUCGGCAGACAAAAACAUCUCGGCAGGUAAAGAGAAAUUCCCUAGAGCCCCAAUCAUGGGAUCAGCUAGUUGGAAGCAGGUGGCAUUCCUGGGUAGUUUCUUUCCCUUCCAGUGGCCAGAAUGGUUAAGCCUUGGUGUGCUUGUGUGUCUGAUUGCCCCAUUCAUCGGAAACCAGACCGAUGGUUUCAGGAACUCUGAGUGUGUUGUUCCCCUCUAUGUGUCCAUGUGUUCUCAUCAUUUAGCUCCCACUUAUAAGAGAACAUGGAGGUAUUUGGUUUUCUGUUCCUGUGUUAGCUUGCUAAGAAUAAUGGACUGCAGCUCCAUUCAUGUCCCUGCAAAGACAUCAUCUGGUUCUUCUUUAUAGCUGUGUUGUAUUCCAUGGUGUAUAUGUGCCACAUUUUCUUUAUACAGUCUAUUGUUGAUGGACAAUUGAGAUUGAUUCCAUGUUUUUGCUAUUGUGAAUAGUGCUGCAGUGAACAUAUGUGUUCAUGUGUCUUUAUAACAGAUGAUUUAUAUUCCUUUGGAUAUAUACUUAGAAAUGGGAUUGUUGGGUCAAAUGGAAGUUCUGUCUUUAGGUCUUUUAGGAAUCACCACACUGUCUUCCACAAUGGUUAAACUAAUUUACACUCCCACCAACAUUGUAUAAGUGUUCCUUUUUCUCCACAACCUUGCCAGCCUCUGUUAUUUGUUUGACUAUCUGUUAUUUGUUAUAUUUGACUUUUUAAUAUAGCCAUUCUGACAGGUGUUAGGUUGUAUUUGAUGUUGGUUUUGAUUUGCAUUGCUCUAGUAAUGAGUGAUGUUGAGAAGAUUCAAAUAAAUGCAAUCAGAAACAACAAGGGUGAUAUUACCACCGACCCCACAGAAAUAUAAACAACCAUCAGAGAAUGUAAUGAACACCUCCAUGGACAUAAAGUAGAAAAUCUAGAAAGAAUGAAAAAUUCCUGCACAAAUACACCCUCCCAAGACUGAACCAGGGAGGAACUGAAUCCCUAAACAGACCAAGAAUGGCUCUGAAAUUGAGUCAGUAAUAAAUAGUCUCAGUGACAAAUUUUUAAAAUGCCGCUUAGAAAAUGUACACAUAAUUUUGUUCUAUUCAGCAAAUAUAUUUGUAACAAUCACUUUUAGGAAGGGUGUUAAAAUAUUUUAUUAUUUUUUCUCAUUUAGCUUAAUAUUUUAAAAAUAUUUUUCUGCUGGCAACUAUUUAUAUCUCCAUUUUCAUUGACAUGGUCAAUAAUUUACCCACCUUCUAUUAAAUAAUAGUGGAUCAA
rnacentral:lncRNA from 1 species